rnacentral:ncRNA from 1 species
AACAUAUUUUUCUUGGGGUUACGAUACUGGCCAAUGAAAGGGUAGUGAGAGUAAACUGCUUAUGACUACACAACACCCCUGCAUUAACUAGAGCUUUGAUUUACUUUGGUGCAACUUUUGAAAAA